UAAGCAAUUAUACCGCGAAACUGCGAAUGGCUCAUUAUAUAAGUUAUAGUUUAUUUGAUAGCACCUUACUACAUGGAUAACUGUGGUAAUUCUAGAGCUAAAACAUGCUAAAAAUCCCGACUUCGGAAGGGAUGUGUUUAUUAGAUUAAAAACCAAUGCCCUUCGGGGCUGCUUGGUGAUUCAUGAUAACCUCUCGAAUCGCACGGCCUUGCGCCGGCGAUGGUUCAUUCAAAUUUCUUCCCUAUCAACUUUCGAUGCGAAGGUAUUGUCUUCGCAUGGUUACAACGGGUAACGGAGGGUUAGGGCUCGACCCCGGAGAAGGAGCCUGAGAAACGGCUACUACAUCCAAGGAAGGCAGCAGGCGCCCAAAUUACCCAAUCCCGACACGGGGAGGUAGUGACAAUAAAUACUGAUACAGGGCUCUUUUGGGUCUUGUAAUUGGAAUGAGUACAAUUUAAAUCCCUUAACGGGGAACAAUUGGAGGGCAAGUCUGGUGCCAGCAGCCGCGGUAAUUCCAGCUCCAAUAGCGUAUAUUAAAGUUGUUGUGGUUAAAAAGCUCGUAGUUGAACCUUGGGCCUGGCUGGCCGGUCCCCCUCACCGGGUGCACUGGUCCGGCCGGGCCUUUCCCUCUGUGGAACCGCAUGCCCUUCACUGGGUGUGCCGGGGAAACAGGACUUUUACUUUGAAAAAAUUAGAGUGCUCCAGGCAGGCCUAUGCUCGAAUACAUUAGCAUGGAAUAAUAGAAUAGGACGUGUGGUUCUAUUUUGUUGGUUUCUAGGACCGCCGUAAUGAUUAAUAGGGACAGUCGGGGGCAUCAGUAUUCAAUUGUCAGAGGUGAAAUUCUUGGAUCUAUUGAAGACUAACUACUGCGAAAGCAUUUGCCAAGGAUGUUUUCAUUGAUAAGGAACGAAAGUUAGGGGAUCGAAGACGAUCAGAUACCGUCGUAGUCUUAACUAUAAACUAUGCCGACUAGGGAUCGGACGGUGUUUAUACUUGACCCGUUCGGCACC
rnacentral:rRNA from 1 species